rnacentral:tRNA from 1 species
GCUCAUGUAGCUCAGUUGGUAGAGCACACCCUUGGUAAGGGUGAGGUCAGCGGUUCAAACCGCACGUCAACG